rnacentral:tRNA from 2 species
GCGUCCUUAGUGUAAUGGAUAGCACAUGAGAUUUCGGUCCUCAUGAUCCGAGUUCGACUCUCGGGGGACGCAUCA